rnacentral:rRNA from 1 species
UACAGAGGUCUCAAGCGUUGUUCGGAUUCAUUGGGCGUAAAGGGUGCGUAGGUGGCGCCAUAAGUCAGGUGUGAAAUCUCGGGGCUUAACUCCGAAACUGCAUUUGAUACUGUGGUGCUUGAGGACUGGAGAGGAGACUGGAAUUUACGGUGUAGCAGUGAAAUGCGUAGAGAUCGGGAGGAAGGCCGGUGGCGAAGGCGGCGCUCUGGAACGUUUCUGACGCUGAGGCUCGAAAGCGUGGGGAGCAAACAGG